CCUACGGGUGGCAGCAGUCGAGAAUCAUUCACAAUGGGGGAAACCCUGAUGGUGCGACGCCGUGUGGGGGAAUGAAGGUCUUCGGAUUGUAAACCCCUGUCAUGUGGGAGCAAAUUAAAAAGAUAGUACCACAAGAGGAAGAGACGGCUAACUCUGUGCCAGCAGCCGCGGUAAUACAGAGGUCUCAAGCGUUGUUCGGAAUCACUGGGCGUAAGGCGUGCGUAGGCUGUUGCGUAAGUCGUGUGUGAAAGGCGCGGGCUCAACCCGCGGACGGCACAUGAUACUGCGAGACUAGAGUAAUGGAGGGGGAACCGGAAUUCUCGGUGUAGCAGUGAAAUGCGUAGAUAUCGAGAGGAACACUCGUGGCGAAGGCGGGUUCCUGGACAUUAACUGACGCUGAGGCACGAAGGCCAGGGGAGCGAAAGGGAUUAGAUACCCCAGUAGUC
rnacentral:rRNA from 1 species